UAAUAAUAAUAUUGACAAACAAGCAAACAGCACUAUAGAGUCUAGUAUACCUAAUCCCUAUUGUACAGUCGUCAAUGUAUAUAUCGUACAUUUUCUAUGCGGUAAUACGUAAUUGUAAAGUGAAAUCAAAAUUGUUUGCCAAAAAUCUAAUGAUACGAAGCACUACUUUCCAAAUGUUUUUUUUAAACGACUGGGACGUUGCCCGAGUUACCAUGGUCCUCUUUUGCCAUACACGGUACACUGUAGCAUUUGAUUUAUGUGUUCCACGGAAUAUGCUCUGGGAUACCCCAGAUUUGAUGUACGUUCAACCAUAAGGUUUUUACUUCUUUGAAAAUUCAGAUACUUUUCAUAAAUUAAAUAGAUAUAGAAAGAUGUGGUAUGAGUGCCAAUGGGACAACUCUCCAUCCAAAUAACAAUUUAUAAAAGUAAACCAUUAUAGUUCAAUGUACGGCCUUCCACACGGAGCCUUGGCUCACACCGAAGAAUAAGCUAUAAAGGGCCCCAAAAUUACUAGUUUAAAACCAUUCAAACGGGAAAACCAACGGUCUAAUCUAUAUAAAAAACUAGAAACGAGAAACACGUAUAAAUUACAUAAACAAAUGACAACUACUGUACAUCAGAAAGCAUAGUUGCGUUGCUAUUUUCGACUGUUUAAAUACACGUGCUACAAAUAAAUCAACAACUAUCAUUUCUUCUUGUAAGCACAAAAAACACAGAAGGAGCAAGUGUAAGACAUGUAAUAUGUUAAUCACAACUCCUGAUUUUACCAGUAAUUUAACAGGAAAAAUCUUUCGAGCCUCUAGACUGU
rnacentral:lncRNA from 1 species